ACGUCAGUGGUGCAAGGGAUAAAGCACGCGCUUCCGGAUGGGUGAAAUGCGGGUUCAAGUCCCGCUUGACGCA